rnacentral:rRNA from 1 species
UACCAGCACCCCGAGUGGUCGGGACGAUUAUUGGGCCUAAAGCAUCCGUAGCCGGUUUUACAAGUCCCCCGUUAAAUCCAGCUGCUCAACAGAUGGGCUGCGGAGGAUACUAUAAGACUAGGAGGCAGGAGAGGCAAGCGGUACUCAGUGGGUAGGGGUAAAAUCCGUUGAUCCAUUGAAGACCACCAGUGGCGAAGGCGGCUUGCCAGAAUGCGCUCGACGGUGAGGGAUGAAAGCUGGGGGAGCAAACCGG